rnacentral:rRNA from 1 species
UUUAAAGAGAGUUUGAUCCUGGCUCAGGACGAACGCUGGCGGCGUGCCUAAUACAUGCAAGUCGAACGAACGGAGGAAGAGCUUGCUCUUCCAAAGUUAGUGGCGGACGGGUGAGUAACACGUGGGCAACCUGCCUGUAAGUUGGGGAUAACUCCGGGAAACCGGGGCUAAUACCGAAUGAUAAAGUGUGGCGCAUGCCACGCUUUUGAAAGAUGGUUUC